CCUACGGGCGGGCAGCAGUCGAGAAUCAUUCAAAAUGGGGGAAACCCUGAUGGUGCGACGCCGCGUGGGGGAAUGAAGGUCUUCGGAUUGUAAACCCCUGUCAUGUGGGAGCAAAUUAAAAAGAUAGUCCCACAAGAGGAAGAGACGGCUAACUCUGUGCCAGCCACCGCGGUAAUACAGAGGUCUCACGCGUGGUUCGGAAUCACUGGGCGUAAAGCGUGCGUAGGAUGUUUCAUAAGUAGUGGGUGAAAGGCGGGGGCUCAACCCGCGGACGGCACAUGAUACUGCGAGACUGGAGUAAUGGAGGGGGAAGCGGAAUUCUCGGUGUAGCAGUGAAAUGCGUAGAUAUCGGGAGGAACACUCGUGGCGAAGGCGGGUUCCUGGACAUUAACUGACGCUGAGGCACGAAGGCCAGGGGAGCGAAAGGGAUUAGAUACCCCAGUAGUC
rnacentral:rRNA from 1 species